UACGAACCGUCCAAACGUUACUCGGAAUUACUGGGCUUAAAGGGUGCGUAGGCCGCGCGGAGGGUGGGAUGUGAAAUCCCCCGGCUCAACCGGGGAAUAGCGUCCCAAACCGCCGUGCUCGAGGGAGACAGAGGUGAGCGGAACUGAUGGUGGAGCGGUGAAAUGCGUUGAUAUCAUCAGGAACACCAGUGGGCGAAAGCGGCUCACUGGUCCGGUACUGACGCUGAGGU
rnacentral:rRNA from 1 species